GACGAACGCUGGCGGCGUGCUUAACACAUGCAAGUCGAACGGAAAGGCCCUGCUUUUGUGGGGUGCUCGAGUGGCGAACGGGUGAGUAUCACGUGAGUAACAUGCCCUUGACUUUGGGAUAACUUCAGGAAACUGGGGCUAAUACCGGAUAGGAGCUCCUGCAGCACGGUGUGGGUUGGAAAGUUUCGGCGGUGGGGGCUGGACUCGCGGCUUAUCAGCUUGUUGGUGGGGUAGUGGCUUACGAAGGCUUCGACGGGUAGCCGGCCUGAGAGGGUGAACGGCGACAAGGGGACUGCGAUACGGCCCAGACGCCUACGGGAGGCAGCAGUGGAGAAUAUUGCACAAUGAGCGGAAGCCUGAGGCAGCAACGUCGCGUGCGGGAUGACGGCUUUCGGGUUGUAAACCGCUUUCGCCUGUAACGAAGCGUGAGUGACGGUAAUGGGUAAGGAAGCAACGGCUAACUACGUG
rnacentral:rRNA from 1 species